UGGAUGCAGUGCUCAUGCAGUGAUGAAGUAUGUUGUGAUGGACGAUGCAGUGCCCAUGAAGGAAGAUGCAGUGAUCCUGCAGUGAUUGCAGUGCCACUACAGCUGGUUCUAGAUUCACUGAAGGGGUUGCAGUGCCUGAUGCACUGUCCCUGAACUUGGCUGCAGUGCCCAUACAAUGGUUUCAGUGUCACUGAAGGCAGAUACAGUAUGUUGUGUUGGAGGAAGCAGUGGCCAUGAAGGUGGAUGCAGUGAUCCUGCAGUGGUUGCAGUGCCCCCUUCAGGUUCCCUGAAUGCUGAUGCAGUGAACAAGCAGUGAAUGCACUGAAUAUUCAGUGAUUGCAGUGCACAUGCAGUGCCACUGCAGCUGAAUGCAGUGUUGCUGCCGUGGUUGCAGAGCCCACUGCCGUUUCUGUGAUUGUGGAUGCAGGGCCCAUGCAGCCUCUGCAGUGUGACCCAAAUUGGAUGCAGUAUGUUGUGAAGUAGGAUGCAGUACACAUGAAGGAGGAUGCAGUUAUCCUGCAUUCAUUGCACUGCACCUGCAGUGUCAAUUCAUCUGGAUGCAGUGUCCCUGAAUGUGGAUUGAAUGCUCAUGCACUGAUGAUGUAUGUUGUCAUGGAGGAUGCAGUGACCAUGAAGGCUGAUGCAGUGAUCCUGCAGUGAUUGCAGGGCAUCUGAAGUGCACUUCAGGUGAAUCCAGUGUCCCUGCAGGGGUUGCAGUGUCUGUUGCACUGUCCGUGAACGUGGAUGCAGUGCCCAUGCAAUGGCUGCAGUUUCACAGAAGUUAGAUGCAGUAUGUUGUGUUGGAGGAAGCAGUGGCCAUGAAGGUGGAUGCAGUGAUCCUGCAGUGGUUGCACUGCCCCGUGCAGGGUCCCUCAAUGAGAAUGCUGUGCCCUUGCAAAGGAUUCAGUGCUCCACAAGGUGAAUGCAGUAUGUUAUGUCAGAUGAUGCAUUGCCCAUGAAGGUGCAUGCAGUGUUCCUGCACUGGUUGUCAUGAACCCUUCUCUGUCCCUGAUUGUGGAUGCAGUGCACAUGCAGUGUAUGCAGUGUCCCAUAAGGCAGAUGCAGUAUGUUGUAACGGAGGAUGCAGUGCCCAUGAAGGUGGAUGCAGUGAUCAUGCAGAGGUUUCUGUGCACCCUGCAGUGUCCCUUAAUGUGGAUGCAACGAACAUGAUGUAUAUGCAGUGAAGAUUCAAUGAUUGCGGUGCACCUGCUGUGCCACUUCAGCUUCAGACAGUGUUCCUGCAGUGGUUGCAGUGCUGCCUGCAUUGUCCGUGUAUGUGGAUGCAGUGCCCAGGCAGUGGAUGCAGUGUCAGACAAGUUGGAUGCAGUAUGUUGUGACAGAAGAUGAAUAGCUCAUGAAGGUGGAUGCAGUGAUCCUGCAGUGGGUUCCGUGCACAAUGCAGUGUCCCUGAAUGCGGAUGCAGUGAACAAGCAGUUGAUGCACUGAACAUUCAGUGAUUGCAGUGCACCUGCAGUGCCACUUCCGCUGAAUUCAGUGUUGCUGCAGUGGUUGCAGAGCCCACUGCAGUGUCUCUGAAUGUGGAUGCAGGGCCAAUGCAACCUCUGCAGUGUGCCCAAAGGUGGAGGCAGUAUGUUGUGAAGUAGGAUGCAGUGCCCAUCAAGGAGGAUGCAGUGAUCCUGCAUUCAUUGCAGUGCACCUACAGUGUCAAUUCAUCUGGAUGCAGUGUCCCUGAAUGUGGAUACAAUGCUAAUGCAGUGAUGAUGUAUGUUGUGAUGGAGGAUGCAGUGCCCAUGAAGGCAGAUGCAGUGAUUCUACAGUGAUUGCAGUGCAUCUGCAGUGCCACUUCUGGUGGAUCCAGUGUCGCUGCAGUGUAUGCAGUGCCUGUUGCACUGUCCCUGAACGUGGAUGCAGUGCCCAUGCAAUGGCUGCAGUGUCACUGAAGGUAGAUGCAGUAUGUUUUGUUGGAGGAAGCAGUGGCCAUGAAGGUGGAUGCAGUGAUCCUGCAGUGGUUGCAGUGCUCUCUGCAGGGUCCCUGAAUGAGGAUGCCGUGCCCUUGCAGUGGAUCCCGCGCCCCACACGGUGGAUGCAGUAUGCUAUGAAGGAAGAUUCAUUGCCCAUGAAGGAG
ensembl:lncRNA